rnacentral:rRNA from 1 species
CCUACGGGAGGCAGCAGUGGGGAAUUUUGGACAAUGGGCGCAAGCCUGAUCCAGCAAUGCCGCGUGCAGGAUGAAGGCCUUCGGGUUGUAAACUGCUUUUGUACGGAACGAAACGGUCCGCCUUAAUACGGUGGGCUAGUGACGGUACCGUAAGAAUAAGCACCGGCUAACUACGUG